rnacentral:rRNA from 1 species
ACGUACACUCCUGCGGGAGGCAGCAGUGAGGAAUAUUGGACAAUGGGUGGAAGCCUGAUCCAGCCAUCCCGCGUGCAGGCAGACGGCCCUAUGGGUUGUAAACUGCUUUUAUCUGGGGAUAAACCUACUUACGUGUAAGUAGCUGAAGGUACCAGAAGAAUAAGCACCGGCUAACUCCGUGCCAGCAGCCGCGGUAAUACGGAGGGUGCAAGCGUUAUCCGGAUUUAUUGGGUUUAAAGGGUCCGUAGGCGGACUGAUAAGUCAGUGGUGAAAUCCGACAGCUUAACUGUCGAACUGCCAUUGAUACUGUUAGUCUUGAGUAAGGUUGAAGUGGCUGGAAUAAGUAGUGUAGCGGUGAAAUGCAUAGAUAUUACUUAGAACACCAAUUGCGAAGGCAGGUCACUAAGUCUUAACUGACGCUGAUGGACGAAAGCGUGGGGAGCGAACAGGAUUAGAAACCCCUGUAGUCCCAUGAU